rnacentral:rRNA from 1 species
AACGAACGCUGGCGGCAGGCUUAACACAUGCAAGUCGAGCGCCCCGCAAGGGGAGCGGCAGACGGGUGAGUAACACGUGGGAACGUACCUUUUGCUACGGAAUAGCUCCGGGAAACUGGAAUUAAUACCGUAUGUGCCCUUCGGGGGAAAGAUUUAUCGGCAAAAGAUCGGCCCGCGUCUGAUUAGCUAGUUGGUGGGUAAUGGCCUACCAAGGCGACGAUCAGUAGCUGGUCUGAGAGGAUGAUCAGCCACACUGGGACUGAGACACGGCCCAGACUCCCACGGGAGGCAGCAGUGGGGAAUAUUGGACAAUGGGCGCAAGCCUGAUCCAGCCAUGCCGCGUGAGUGAUGAAGGCCUUAGGGUUGUAAAGCUCUUUCGCUAGGGAAGAUAAUGACGGUACCUAGAGAAGAAGCCCCGGCUAACUUCGUGCCAGCAGCCGCGGUAACAC